UUUGCCUCAAACACAAAGAUGUCAUCCCAGUGCCCAGACACUGGGAUCCAGGAAAAUUGAUUGUGCACUAUAGCAACAUUUUUGAUCAAAAACUGGAUUCCAGCGUCAAGCACUGGAAUGACACCCUUCCGGUGGAAAUU
rnacentral:ncRNA from 1 species